GAGGGUAUAGGUCAGUGGUAGAGCGCAUGCUUAGUAUACACAAGGUCCUGGGUUCAAUCCCCAAUACCUUCC
rnacentral:tRNA from 1 species